rnacentral:lncRNA from 10 species
CCCACUUCCCCACACCCUCACCAAUUAUUAUUUUUCUUUAACAUUUACUAAUCUUAGGGGUAAUGUCUCAUUGUUUUAGUUUGUUUUGUGCAAUUACUAAGGAGACUGAACAUUUUUUCAUAACUUCAUUGUCAAUUUUUAUUUUUUCUGUGAAACACAUUGCUUAUAUCCCUUAUUCAUUUUUUAGUUGGAUUGUCACUUUUUUCUAAUUCAUAGAAAUUAUUUGUUGAUUCAUUCCUAAAAGUGUGUAUAGUUUUACAGAUUUUAUUAAGGGCCUUCAUUCUUAGUUAUGUAGCAAAUAUUUUCCCCGAUUCAUUUCAUGUCUUUUUUUAUGUGAUGAAAUACACAUAACAUAAAAAUUACCAUUUUCAUCAUUUUAAGUGUACAGUUCAGUAACAUUAAGUACAUUAAUACUGAUGUGUAACCACCACUCAUCGCCAAAACAUCUUCAUCUUCCUAACCUUCAUUGUAUGUCUUUAAAUUCAUUCUUUGUGUCUUAUAUUAUACAAAAGUUUUACAUUUUUAUCUAUUCUAAUUUAUCAACCUUUUCCUUUAUGACUUCUGGCUUUUACAUCUUGUGUAGGGAAAUUUUUGCUGGUGCUGUAUUUUCUAUAUUUUCUUUUAAUACCUUUCUAGACUUGUUUUAACAUUUUAUCUUUAAGCCAUUUGACAUUUUUGUGCUGGUAUGCAUGGUCUGAGGUGGGCUUCUAACUUUACUUUCUUGCAGGUGGGGACCUGAUUAUCCUAACACCUUUUUUAAAAAAUCCAUCUUUUCGCCUGGUGCAGUGGCUCAUGUUUGUAAUCCCAGCACUUUGGGAGGCCGAAGCAGGCGGAUCACAAGGUCAGGAGAUCGAGA